rnacentral:rRNA from 1 species
GCAGCAGUAGGGAAUCUUCCACAAUGGACGGAAGUCUGACCGAGCAACGCCGCGUGAGUGAAGAAGGUUUUCGGAUCGUAAAGCUCUGUUGUAAGAGAAGAACGAGUGUGAGAGUGGAAAGUUCACACUGUGACGGUAACUUACCAGAAAGGGACGGCUAACUACGUGCCAGCAGCCGCGGUAAUACGUAGGUCCCGAGCGUUAUCCGGAUUUAUUGGGCGUAAAGCGAGCGCAGGCGGUUAGAUAAGUCUGAAGUUAAAGGCUGUGGCUUAACCAUAGUACGCUUUGGAAACUGUUUAACUUGAGUGCAGAAGGGGAGAGUGGAAUUCCAUGUGUAGCGGUGAAAUGCGUAGAUAUAUGGAGGAACACCGGUGGCGAAAGCGGCUCUCUGGUCUGUAACUGACGCUGAGGCUCGAAAGCGUGGGGAGCAAACAGGAUUAGAUACCCUGGUAGUCCACGCCGUAAACGAUGAGUGCUAGGAGUUUGGGCCGUGUCAAUCACUAG